rnacentral:rRNA from 1 species
AUUGAACGCUGGCGGCAUGCCUUACACAUGCAAGUCGAACGGUAACAGGCCGCAAGGUGCUGACGAGUGGCGAACGGGUGAGUAAUGCAUCGGAACGUGCCCAGUAGUGGGGGAUAGCCCGGCGAAAGCCGGAUUAAUACCGCGUACGACCUGAGGGUGAAAGGGGGGGAUCGCAAGACCUCUCGCUAUUGGAGCGGCCGAUGUCAGAUUAGCUAGUUGGUGGGGUAAAGGCCUACCAAGGCAACGAUCUGUAGUUGGUCUGAGAGGACGACCAGCCACACUGGGACUGAGACACGGCCCAGACUCCUACGGGAGGCAGCAGUGGGGAAUUUUGGACAAUGGGCGCAAGCCUGAUCCAGCAAUGCCGCGUGCAGGAAGAAGGCCUUCGGGUUGUAAACUGCUUUUGUCAGGGAAGAAAUCUUCUGGGUUAAUACCUCGGGAGGAUGACGGUACCUGAAGAAUAAGCACCGGCUAACUACGUGCCAGCAGCCGCGGUAAUACGUAGGGUGCGAGCGUUAAUCGGAAUUACUGGGCGUAAAGCGUGCGCAGGCGGCUUUGCAAGACAGAGGUGAAAUCCCCGGGCUCAACCUGGGAACUGCCUUUGUGACUGCAAGGCUAGAGUACGGCAGAGGGGGAUGGAAUUCCGCGUGUAGCAGUGAAAUGCGUAGAUAUGCGGAGGAACACCAAUGGCGAAGGC